rnacentral:lncRNA from 1 species
CCGCUAGGUCCAGCGCAACAUCCUGGCAAGAGGAGAUGACCUCCCGCAGUUCACGCAGGCCAGACAGAACCUCGCUACCGCAGCAAUGCUUCUGUACAGCCUCCACGAGUCAACUAAACCCUAGGGACAGGCAAUCCAUCGGAACCUUCGAGCGCUGGUGGAAACCGCCUGCUGUCCGACAGCAGGCGGAGAGCUCCGCGUCGCGACAGCGGCACGCAGCCUCCUGCCCAACCAAAGCG